ACUCAGCUGACGAGUCCCAAAUAAGACGAAACGUGCGUAAACUGGAU
rnacentral:hammerhead_ribozyme from 1 species